AAUACAUCGGAACGUGCCCAAUCGUGGGGGAUAACGCAGCGAAAGCUUUGCUAAUACCGCAUACGAUCUACGGAUGAAAGCAGGGGACCGCAAGGCCUUGCGCGAACGGAGCGGCCGAUGGCAGAUUAGGUAGUUGGUGGGAUAAAAGCUUACCAAGCCGACGAUCUGUAGCUGGUCUGAGAGGACGACCAGCCACACUGGGACUGAGACACGGCCCAGACUCCUACGGGAGGCAGCAGUGGGGAAUUUUGGACAAUGGGCGAAAGCCUGAUCCAGCCAUGCCGCGUGCAGGAUGAAGGCCUUCGGGUUGUAAACUGCUUUUGUACGGAACGAAAAGACUCUGGUUAAUACCUGGGGUCCAUGACGGUACCGUAAGAAUAAGCACCGGCUAACUACGUGCCAGCAGCCGCGGUAAUACGUAGGGUGCAAGCGUUAAUCGGAAUUACUGGGCGUAAAGCGUGCGCAGGCGGUUAUAUAAGACAGAUGUGAAAUCCCCGGGCUCAACCUGGGAACUGCAUUUGUGACUGUAUAGCUAGAGUACGGCAGAGGGGGAUGGAAUUCCGCGUGUAGCAGUGAAAUGCGUAGAUAUGCGGAGG
rnacentral:rRNA from 1 species